GAUACCAUCAGGUGCCCUGCGUGCUUCAGAACCUUGAUAUCUGUGAGAGGAGUACACACUAGUUAAUGACUGCAAAGGAUUCCAGGGAGAGGAGAAUAUCCUGGGACCUAUGAAGUACCUGCUGAUUUUUCAAGAAGAAAGCUUAGAAAUUUCUUGACCCUAAGGAAUAAGCUCAGCUCUGAGGCUGCGUGAAGAUCAUUUAGGCUUAUGCUUAGCUCUUCCAAAUCUGGAUGAAAAUCCUUCCCUAAGAAGGCUUGUGAUUCACUGUAUUGUUUCACCACAUUCUGCGAAUUUAAAAU